UACGUAGGUGGCAAGCGUUAUCCGGAAUUAUUGGGCGUAAAGCGCGCGCAGGCGGUUUCUUAAGUCUGAUGUGAAAGCCCACGGCUCAACCGUGGAGGGCCAUUGGAAACUGGGAAACUUGAGUGCAGAAGAGGAAAGUGGAAUUCCACGUGUAGCGGUGAAAUGCGUAGAGAUGUGGAGGAACACCAGUGGCGAAGGCGACUUUCUGGUCUGUAACUGACGCUGAGGCGCGAAAGCGUGGGGAGCGAACAGG
rnacentral:rRNA from 1 species